rnacentral:rRNA from 1 species
CGUGGAGCGAUUUGUCUGGUUUAUUCCGAUAACGAGCGAGACUCUAGCCUACUAAAUAGUUGGCUCAUUGCUGCUGUGGGCACAACUUCUUAGAGGGAUUUUCGGUGUUCAGCCGCACGAAAUUGAGCAAUAACAGGUCUGUGAUGCCCUUAGAUGUCCGGGGCUGCACGCGCGCUACACUGGCAAAAUCAGCGUGCUUGUCCUUCCCCGAAAGGGGUUGGUAAACCGGUGAAAAUUUGCCGUGAUUGGGAUCGGACAUUGCAAUUAUUGUCCGUGAACGAGGAAUUCCUUGUAGGGGCGAGUCAUCAACUCGCUCUGAAUACGUCCCUGCCCUUUGUAC